rnacentral:lncRNA from 1 species
CCCGUGGCGCCGUGGGAAAGCGCGCUGGUUUCUGCCAAAUGCAGUUAGCUUUGCUUCGCUUCCCUAAGUGCGUUCCCCCAGGGGCCCGGCAGUGUGCUAGGGGCACCCUGCUUCGUAAGUGAGGCAGACAGCCCGUGAUAAAUGCCAAAGUAGAAGCCCCUCCGAAAAAUUAAGGAGCCGAUUGGGCGGGACUAACCCUAAGGGAGGGCAGGGGAAGCGACCGUCACCUCCGGGCGCCGGGGACUCGGAACGCCGGGUCGGAGCUCGGCAGGCGGAGAAAUGUAAGCUCCAUGAGGUCAUGGAUUGUGUAUUUUGUUCACUGCUGUAUUCCCUGAGCCUGGAACAGUGCCUGACACAUAGUAGAUGCGCAGUAAAUAUUUGGUGAAUGAAUGAACAAACGCUAAUACAUCAAAGAGACAACAUCAAAGAACAGACUCCACAGGGCAGUUUACAUCUUCAUUGUUUGGCCCGACCCUUCUUGUUUGAGGGUGGAUUUUCAAAAUUACUGCUGAAGGCAAUUGGGAGCCUUGAAAGCUUUUAAAGGAGACGGGGUCUCACCACAUUGUCCAGGCUGAUCUCGAACUCCUGACUUCAAGCGAUCUCACCUCGGCCUCCCAAAGUGCUGGGAUUACAGGCAUAAGCCACCGUGCCUGGCCAAUUAUGAUCUAGUUUGAGUCAUUAAAAAGGAGAAGUCAUCAGUUUGAAAAGAGCUACAAUCAGAGCAAAAUGAAUUCUGCUAAAAUUGAAGGAACAACAAACGUCAAAUUUAGGGUGAGGUUAGGGUGGAAGAAUGGUAAAAUCACUGAUGCUUUACCAAAAGUUUAUGGGGACAAUGCACCUAAAUAAAUCAGCAGUUUAUAAAAAUAGUUAAUUUGUAAGAAAGGACAAGACGAUGCUGAAGAUGAAGCCUGCAGCAGCAGGUCAUCCACAUCAAUUUGUGAGAAAAAAAAUUUAUCUUCUUUGUGCCCUAAUUUGGAAGGACCAACGAUUAACAGCAGAAACAACAGUCAACACCAUAGACAUCACAAUUGGUUCAGCUUACAGAAUUCUGACUGAAAAAUCAAAAGUUGAGCAAACUUUCCACUUGAUGGGUGCCAAAACCAGAUCAGCUGCAAAGAACAGAGCUUUCAAUGGAAAUUUUAAACAAGUAGGCUCUAUUGGUUGCUACAAAAUUAAUUGCAGUUUUUGCCAUUGAAAGACAUGUCAAAAACCGCAAUUACUUUUGCCCCAACCAAUAGAUCAUGAAGCAUCUAUUGGGAAAGUGUAACAGGAGGUGAAAUGUGGCUUUCCAACUAUGGAGACAAAGUACAAUCGAAGUAAUGGCUCCGAAGAUGUGGAAGUGGUCCAGUCAAAGCAAAAGUGGUCUGGUCAAGAGCAAAGGUCAUGGAAAUAGUUUUUUGAGCUGCUUGAGAAAUUUUGCUUGUUGACUUUCUGGAGGGCCAAAGAAAAAUAACAUCUGCUUAUUAUGAGAGUGUUUUGAGAAAGCCAAAGCUUUAGCAGAAAAAUGCCCAGGAAAACUUCACCAGAGAGUCCUUUUCUAUCACAGCAAAGGUUCUGCUCACGCCUCUCAUCAAACGGGAAAUUUUGAGAGAGUUUCAAUGGGAAACCAGUAGGCAUUCACCCUACAGUUGGUAUUUAGCUCCUUCCAACUUCUUUUGGUUUCCUAAUGAUAAAAAAUCUGUAAAGGGUACCAUUUUUUUUCCAGUUAAUAAUGUAAAAAAGAUUGCAUUGAUGUAAAUUCCCAGGAACUCCAAUUCUUUGGGGAUGGAUAAAAUGGCUAGUAUCUAAGUGCUGUGAGCAAGAGACAAAAAUAAAUAAAUAAAUGGCUAAUAUCAUUGCCUACAAAAGUGUCAAAGUUUCUUGACCUUGGUGGAUCUUAUAAGUUUAUAUUUUUUAUCUUUUACGUCUAUUUUCCACAAACUUUUUUUUUUUUUUGAGACAGAGUCUGGCUCU